rnacentral:rRNA from 1 species
AGUGAACGCUGGCGGUAGGCCUAACACAUGCAAGUCGAACGGCAGCACAGUAAGAGCUUGCUCUUACGGGUGGCGAGUGGCGGACGGGUGAGGAAUACAUCGGAAUCUACUUUUUCGUGGGGGAUAACGUAGGGAAACUUACGCUAAUACCGCAUACGACCUACGGGUGAAAGCAGGGGAUCUUCGGACUUUGCGCGAUUGAAUGAGCCGAUGUCGGAUUAGCUAGUUGGCGGGGUAAAGGCCCACCAAGGCGACGAUCCGUAGCUGGUCUGAGAGGAUGAUCAGCCACACUGGAAAUUAGACACGGUCCAGACUCCUACGGGAGGCAGCAGUGGGGAAUUUUGGACAAUGGGCGCAAGCCUGAUCCAGCCAUACCGCGUGGGUGAAGAAGGCCUUCGGGUUGUAAAGCCCUUUUGUUGGGAAAGAAAAGCAGCAGGUUAAUACCCCGCUGUUCUGACGGUACCCAAAGAAUAAGCACCGGCUAAUUUCGUG